rnacentral:rRNA from 1 species
AACGAACGCUGGCGGCAUGCCUAACACAUGCAAGUCGAACGAGACCUUCGGGUCUAGUGGCGCACGGGUGCGUAACGCGUGGGAAUCUGCCCCUUGGUUCGGAAUAACAGCGAGAAAUUGCUGCUAAUACCGGAUAAUGACGUAAGUCCAAAGAUUUAUCGGCCAAGGGAUGAGCCCGCGUAGGAUUAGCUAGUUGGUGUGGUAAAGGCGCACCAAGGCGACGAUCCUUAGCUGGUCUGAGAGGAUGAUCAGCCACACUGGGACUGAGACACGGCCCAGACUCCUACGGGAGGCAGCAGUGGGGAAUAUUGGACAAUGGGCGAAAGCCUGAUCCAGCAAUGCCGCGUGAGUGAUGAAGGCCUUAGGGUUGUAAAGCACUUUAAAGUUGGGAGGAA